GGUAACACCUGGAAACAGAUGCUAAUACCGGAUAACAACACUAGACGCAUGUCUAGAGUUUAAAAGAUGGUUCUGCUAUCACUCUUGGAUGGACCUGCGGUGCAUUAGCUAGUUGGCAAGGCAACGGCUUACCAAGGCAAUGAUGCAUAGCCGAGUUGAGAGACUGAUCGGCCACAUUGGGACUGAGACACGGCCCAAACUCCUACGGGAGGCAGCAGCG
rnacentral:rRNA from 1 species